rnacentral:rRNA from 1 species
UGAGUGAUGAAGGUCUUCGGAUCGUAAAACUCUGUUAUUAAGGAAGAACAUAUGUGUAAGUAACUGUGCACAUCUUGACGGUACCUAAUCAGAAAGCCACGGCUAACUACGUGCCAGCAGCCGCGGUAAUACGUAGGUGGCAAGCGUUAUCCGGAAUUAUUGGGCGUAAAGCGCGCGUAGGCGGUUUUUUAAGUCUGAUGUGAAAGCCCACGGCUCAACCGUGGAGGGUCAUUGGAAACUGGAAAACUUGAGUGCAGAAGAGGAAAGUGGAAUUCCAUGUGUAGCGGUGAAAUGCGCAGAGAUAUGGAGGAACACCAGUGGCGAAGGCGACUUUCUGGUCUGUAACUGACGCUGAUGUGC